CAAUAAGACAACUUUUUUUUUUACUUAUCUUCGUCUUUUAAAAAAAAAUUAUGAGUUUCGAUCAAAAUUUUUUACUUUUGAUUCCUCUCACCGAAACGAAUCAAUAAGUCACAAAAAUUUGAUGCAAAACUAAUAAAUGUGAAUUUUUGUUAAAUAAAAACAAAAAAAAAUUACUAUUGAACUUUUCAAUCCAAAAUCACCCGGAUUGCCCCCUUCUUCCCAGAUAUACGCUAGUGUCGAUUCUCCUCAUGAUCAAGUGUGACAGUAAAGAUGAUUACUAGCGGUGUUUUAUCUUUCCAAUAUGAUAUACUACCUACGUUAUGAUUUGUUUCUCCCUUUUUUGACUUAUACAUGUCCCAAGUUAACUACUCAAUUUCAAAAUUAAUAGACUAGAUUAUGUAAAUUUUUAAAUCAAUAGAUCAAAUUUGGUUUUCUUAAAAAGUUGAAAACCCGAGAUUGGACAUACAAAUCGGGACGGAGAAAGUAUGCCCUUAAAGAUAGCUUGCUGUAUUUAAUUUUCAGGUAUACAAAUCCAUAACAAAACAAAGCUUGCGAGAAGGAAAAUUUGGUGGUCACUACUCCAACAGCUCGGAAUGCCAAAAAUCAAGCUCAUCUCUAGAGAAGGCAACAAAUGCACGGACAUCUUAGCGUGUGAAGCCCGGAUAGCAAGAGAGAGUUUUAUUUCAUUUGUUUUGAUUCCAUAUUGUAUUAGAACUCAAGUAGCAUAUGUUAGUAAAGAAGUACGAGUACACGAAAGUCAUCUGUAUGACUGGUCCAAGAUAAAAGUCCAUAUAAUUGGUUUUUACUGUACUAGUAAAGACCAUGUGUAUAUGUAGUAAUAAAUGCUAGCAGAGUAGUUGUACGUAGUCAGUUUGAUAGGUGUGUUACAUUAGUCAAGGUAACAGCAGUAGUAUGGCAGUGUUCCAAUUAUAUGUUUAUACUGUUUGUGUAGGUAAUCAGUGAUGUAAGCGUCUCCUCCUUACGCCUAUUAAAGGAGGGGUUCCCCCAUUGUAAAGAACCAAGUUAGAAAGCCAGUCAGUGUUUGCAAUAAUAUUCCAGUCUCUUGUGUUCUUAUAA